rnacentral:rRNA from 1 species
GACGAACGCUGGCGGCGUGCUUAACACAUGCAAGUCGAACGGAAAGGCCCUGCUUUUGUGGGGUGCUCGAGUGGCGAACGGGUGAGUAACACGUGAGUAACCUGCCCUUGACUUUGGGAUAACUUCAGGAAACUGGUGCUAAUACCGGAUAGGAGCUCCUGCUGCAUGGUGGGGGUUGGAAAGUUUCGGCGGUUGGGGAUGGACUCGCGGCUUAUCAGCUUGUUGGUGGGGUAGUGGCUUACCAAGGCUUUGACGGGUAGCCGGCCUGAGAGGGUGGACGGCCACAUUGGGCCUGAGAGACGGCCCAGACUCGUACGGGAGGCAGCAGUGGGGAAUAUUGCACAAUGGGCGGGAGCCUGAUGCAGAAACGCCGCGUGCGGGAAGACGGCCUUCGGGUUGUAAACCGCUGUCGCCUGUGACGAAGCGUGAGUGACGGUAAUGGGUAAAGAAGCACCGGCUAACUACGUG